GUGGGGAAUAUUGCACAAUGGGGGAAACCCUGAUGCAGCAACGCCGCGUGAAGGAAGAAGUAUUUCGGUAUGUAAACUUCUAUCAGCAGGGAAGAAAAUGACGGUACCUGACUAAGAAGCCCCGGCUAACUACGUGCCAGCAGCCGCGGUAAUACGUAGGGGGCAAGCGUUAUCCGGAUUUACUGGGUGUAAAGGGAGCGUAGGUGGUAUGGCAAGUCAGAUGUGAAAGCCCGGGGCUCAACCCCGGGACUGCAUUUGAAACUGUCAGACUAGAGUGCAGGAGAGGUAAGUGGAAUUCCUAGUGUAGCGGUGAAAUGCGUAGAUAUUAGGAGGAACACCAGUGGCGAAGGCGGCUUACUGGACUGUAACUGACACUGAGGCUCGAAAGCGUGGGGAGCAAACAGGAUUAGAAACCCGAGUAGUCC
rnacentral:rRNA from 1 species